rnacentral:rRNA from 1 species
AACGAACGCUGGCGGCAUGCCUAACACAUGCAAGUCGAACGAGACCUUCGGGUCUAGUGGCGCACGGGUGCGUAACGCGUGGGAACCUGCCCUUAGGUUCGGAAUAACUCCCCGAAAGGGGUGCUAAUACCGGAUAAUGUCUUCGGACCAAAGAUUUAUCGCCUUUGGAUGGGCCCGCGUUGGAUUAGCUAGUUGGUAGGGUAAAAGCCUACCAAGGCGACGAUCCAUAGCUGGUCUGAGAGGAUGAUCAGCCACACUGGGACUGAGACACGGCCCAGACUCCUACGGGAGGCAGCAGUGGGGAAUAUUGGACAAUGGGCGAAAGCCUGAUCCAGCAAUGCCGCGUGAGUGAUGAAGGCCUUAGGGUUGUAAAGCUCUUUUAACCGGGAUGAUAAUGACAGUACCGGGAGAAUAAGCGCCGGCUAACUCCGUG